GGUUGUCGCUGCUGCCGGCUUUCGCAAAGGAGCGCUUUGAUUGGUCGGGUUUUGAUUGGUCGGCCGGAGAGGUUACCUGGGAAUUCACCCACCCACCCCUCCAGGGACUUUGAUAGGAUUGGGGAAGGUUUGUGUUCCUGAAGCCUUGGGAGUUGUCACAGGCUACAGAGAAGGGAUUUCAGUCCCUAGGAGGGGUAGCCCUCCUAGAGAUAGCUCCCGCUUUAUCUCGGGAGACCCUGGUGUUUCUAGAGCAGGCU
rnacentral:lncRNA from 1 species